rnacentral:lncRNA from 1 species
GCAUUAUUAAUUGAUAUUUAUAAAGAAGUGCAUUAAGAGUUAUCUGGGUAUAGGCAUUACUACAAAGCUAUAAAUAUAUUUAGCUAGAUUUUAUAGUUCCUUAAGAUCAGUCACCAGAGACAGAGAAUGAUAUACAUUUGAUAUGAAUAACAUCUGUAUUUGUGUCUAAAUAGAGGGGGAAAUGCAUCUGUCUUUAGUAGAUGUCUCUUUUUAAUGUUUCAGCCUGCAAGAAAUGCACAUUAAUAGCAGCUUCUUCCCUGAGGAAGGUUUUGAACCGGAGUACUUGAGAAGAAACUUACAACAGAGCAGCCUAAAGUGCCACCCAGUCCCUUUUAAUUAGCACACAUAAGUCCCCCAACAUCCAAGAUAUGAUUGAGACUUUCUGCCAUUUCAUUUUAAUAUCAGUGUUAUAUGCUAACGUUUGUCAGACUAAGCUAAAAAACCACUUCUUUUUAUGUUGUUUCCCACAUGCAGAGCAGACCUCUUACAUUUUUGUUGGCUGCUAACGUACUAAGCGUUUUUUGGCAGCAUGCGGUUCUGGAUUGAAGCCAUGCAUGCAAGUCUUCCACAUGUCUGCUACUGAAGAAUGCUUGAAGCUGGGAGGCAAAUGGGGAUCAGAACUGUCUCAGCAUUGGAGCUGGUCUGUGUUUGAGGUUUACCCCAGUGUAGAAGAUAUAGAAGACAGACAAAUACGUCAGACAUGCACUUUGGGGGAGCAACUGUGUCCUGAAGACUCUUUUCCCAGACAGAAUCCUUUCCCAUUUGUGAUUCCAUUCCUAAGGCAGCACCCAGCCCAUUACACUCUCUCAUCAGCAUCUGCAGGUAUCUCCAGUUGUGCUCUUUUCCCAGCAUGUUCCCCAGGACAUUGGAAGAAGAGAAAAGCUGAAUCAAGUUGGAAAAAACAUGAAUAUUUCUGAACGUGUGGACACUUCUCACUUCUCAAGUGUGGGAGGAAUAUUUCACUGCCCC